rnacentral:rRNA from 1 species
UCGAACGGAUCCUUCGGGAUCAGUGGCGCACGGGUGAGUAACGCGUGGGAACCUGUUCGAGAAGUGGGGAACAACCACUGGAAACGGUGGCUAAUACCGCAUGUGCCCCGAGGGGCAAAGGUCGAAAGGCCGCUUUUCGAGGGGCCCGCGUCCGAUUAGCUUGUUGGUGGGGUAAUGGCCUACCAAGGCUGCGAUCGGUAGCUGGUCUGAGAGGAUGAUCAGCCACACUGGGACUGAGACACGGCCCAGACUCCUACGGGAGGCAGCAGUGGGGAAUAUUGGACAAUGGGCGAAAGCCUGAUCCAGCAAUGCCGCGUGAGUGAAGAAGGCCUUAGGGUUGUAAGGCUCUUUCGCCCGCGACGAUGAUGACGGUAGCGGGAGAAGAAGCCCCGGCUAAUUCCGUGCCAGCAGCCGCGGUAAUACGGAAGGGGCUAGCGUUGUUCGGAAUCACUGGGCGUAAAGCGCGCGUAGGCGGCCGGUCAAGUGCGGCGUGAAAGUCCUGGGCUCAACCCGGGGACGGCGCUGCGGACUGUCCGGCUGGAGUCCGGAAGAGGGUGGUGGAAUUCCGAGUGUAGAGGUGAAAUUCGUAGAUAUUCGGAGGAACACCGGUGGCGAAGGCGGCCACCUGGUCCGGUACUGACGCUCAAGCGCGAAAGCGUGGGGAGCAAACAGGAUUAGAUACCUUGGUAGUCCACGCCGUAAACGAUGGGUGCUAGAUGUCG